UACGUAGGCAGCAAGCGUUGUUCGGAGUUACUGGGCGUAAAGGGUGUGUAGGCGGUCGGAUAAGUGUGGUGUGGAAAUCUCCCGGCUCAACUGGGAGGGUGCGCUACAAACUGUCUGGGCUAGAGUGCGGGAUGGGAAAGUGGAAUUCCUGGUGUAGCGGUGAAAUGCGUAGAUAUCAGGAGGAACACCGGUGGUGUAGACGGCUUUCUGGACCGUAAACUGACGGCUGGAAACACGAAAGCGUGGGUAGCAAACAGG
rnacentral:rRNA from 1 species